CAGCAGUCGCCGCGGGAAUACAGAGGGUGCGAGCGUUAAUCGGAUUUACUGGGCGUAAAGCGUGCGUAGGCGGCUUUUUAAGUCGGAUGUGAAAUCCCUGAGCUUAACUUAGGAAUUGCAUUCGAUACUGGGAAGCUAGAGUAUGGGAGAGGAUGGUAGAAUUCCAGGUGUAGCGGUGAAAUGCGUAGAGAUCUGGAGGAAUACCGAUGGCGAAGGCAGCCAUCUGGCCUAAUACUGACGCUGAGGUACGAAAGCAUGGGGAGCAAACAGGAUUAGAUACCCCUGUAGUCCCUGUCUCUUAUAC
rnacentral:rRNA from 1 species